GAGGAGUCUGUUGGUUACAUGUCGGAACCGGAAUUAUUCUUUUAUUGGAAUUUCACACUUCGUUUUAGAAUUGCUCUGUCGUUAGUCGUGAUUUCGCUAAGAAGAUCAAAGAAUGUUUUGAUAGAGAGCGGUGCCAAGAGUUUUCAUAAAAGAUGACGACAUCACCAUAGGUGUAUCGUGCUACGAGAAACGUCGAAAUCAGUCAUCGUCUCGUUUGGAUUCGCCUCAUGUCCGAUUACGAACCGGUGCAUCGUGUUUUCGUGAUGUUUCACGUUGAUCAACAAUGACAUCAGCGUUAAGGUUGCAAUUUUGAUUAGUCAUUCAGGUUACUGUAAUUGCAAGAUGAAGUCUAAUAAGAAAUAAAAUAUGACGUAGAAGCCUCUAGAAAUCAGACAAAUUCAUCUCGACAAUUUGAAUCGAAGCCACGAUUUGAAAGCCCUAACGUCUGCAAGUAUCAGCCCGAAAGCGGAAUUUCAGAAUACGCGGAGGGCUCGCGAUGUCAAUGUCAAGUUUCGUACGCGCAACGCGUUUCUUUUCCCACGAUGACAUCAUCGUAGCUAAUAAUGAACGGCGUUUAACACAAGGUGCAAUCACCAGCCGGCGGUCGUGGUAUUUUCAAGACGGCACAGAAAUUUACGAAACACGUUGCGCUCUGUAUCGUCGCUGACUAAUACGAGAUUAAAUAAGAAAAGAAGAACAGCUCAAUUAAUCGCGUUCGUUCGAUCUUUUUCACUUUCAAUAUCCUCGAAAUACAUAAAUUAAUAAUACAUAAAUUAAUACGAUACGAUAUUUCGAAUAAUCGAGACUUCUCUACGAACGAGAGAAAAAUUGCAAUUUAUGUAAAUCCGGUGAUUUGAAUGUUCCGAAUUUGCGCGGCGCAGCGUUACAUAGAAACUGCACUUUGAAAUAUUUGCAAGACGAUCGUUAUUGCUCUUGAAACAUCGCGGCCGGCAGCAAGUUGCGGAAGUAUCUCGUGCACGUGAUGCAAUCCUUAUGCGGGCAUGCGACUCGAUCCAACGUGCUCCAGCACAGAGAUAUUUCCGUAACACCGAUCAAAUGAUCCACUCUUUGCAGGAUCUAUCCACCAUAUUCCAACGAAGCACUAUCCUCUUGAAAUAUUCUAACACCAAAGGACACUUGGACGAAUCGAAUAAAAAUCCCUAUCUAAACUAUCUGACUUUCUUAGAACGAAAAAAGGGAAGAAAAAGAUUAAGGAAAAUAGCCAUCCCUGAAGAAACACGCGAACGAAUAUCUAUCGGCGGUGAGAUUCAACAGCAAAAAGGUGGUACGUGUAUACCAAUUUCAG